UGGAGUUUCCUGCUCCACGUGUGCAAUGUCACCAGCUGACAUAAAAUCUGAAAAGAUGUGCUGGACCAGGGGAGGAGAAAAGGUGCUAUUGCAACCAUUGGCAUCUUCUUCAAAUGCCUGCAAAGUGAGGCGGGACUGUCCUUCCUUUCUUCUUCAUUACAUGUUUCUGAAGCCUACAACUUACUGUAAUUCAGAAUGAAGCUAUUCAAGUUUUGUGGGGGAAGAUUAGUGUGCUAAAACACUAGCACACCUCUAAGACAGCUGCAGCUGGAUUGUCAGUGAGCUGAUGAUGGGAGACAGGAGGUUGUGAGAAUGAAACAGGGAAUGUGACACCUCUGGAGGUAUCCAACAGGAACUGUGGAAGGAAAAAGCUGGGCCUGGGUUCCCACAGAUGGAAGAGCCAGUGGGAAGGCAUUAGGAGGGGAGCACACAGAAAUGGAUACCAUCCACCAUUGCCCAGAGGAGUUGGGCUGAGAUUGUGUGAGACACAUUUCUAACAUCCUGCCUACCUCACCACUUAAACUGGGAGUUUUUGUCUGCUGGAAGCAAAGUGACACUAGCAAAUGCCUAGUUGUUUUGUGUUGGUUUUUUUUUUUCUAACCAUGUCAGAUUUCGUGUACUUGUGAGUUUCACAGCAGGGCUGAAUCCUCAGGGGGACACCUGAGCUGGGAUCCCGCAAGGCUUCAGCCAAGUCAAGGGCUGCACCACCACACACGUCACACUGUGCAAGGGAACCAGGGCGCUGCACAGGAACCGUGGAGACUACUUGGAAUUCAAGUUCUGAUUUUUUGCCCUUUCAUGUCUCAGGACGUUCUGAGUCAUGAAAAUCAUGGAGUAUUACUGAAUUGCUUGAGUCCAGGUGAAGGAAACCUGCUGCUUCUGCUACAUUUUAAGGGAAAAGAAGGAAAUAGAAAGGGGAUUGUAAUGAUGAAGAAGCCAACAAACUACCUUCUCAACAGGAUGCCAGAAGAAUCAAGGGCACAUGGCAUCUUCUCAUCUCUGCUUCCUGUAGUGGCUAAGGACACUGAAAUAAGUGCUAGAAAGAGAAAAUGAGUGAUGGGCUUGAUAACAUCAAAUCCCAAAAACGAGGAGUUCAUUGGUAUGGAAGUAUUAUAGUCCAGAGCAUUUGAUCCUCCUAUUAGUAGUCCUAUCGUUGGGAAG
ensembl:lncRNA